rnacentral:rRNA from 1 species
AGUGAACGCUGGCGGUAGGCCUAACACAUGCAAGUCGAACGGAAGCACAGUAAGAGCUUGCUCUUACGGGUGGCGAGUGGCGGACGGGUGAGGAAUACAUCGGAAUCUACUUUUUCGUGGGGGAUAACGUAGGGAAACUUACGAUAAUACCGCAUCCGACCUACGGGUGAAAGCAGGGGAUCUUCGGACCUUGCGCGAAUGAAUGAGCCGAUGUCGGAUUAGAUAGUUGGCGGGGUAAAGGCCCACCAAGGCGCCGAUCCGUAGCCGGUCUGUGAGGAUGAUCGGCCACACUGGAACUGAGACACGGUCCAGACUCCUACGGGACGCAGCAGUGGGGAAUAUUGGACAAUGGGCGCAAGCCUGAUCCAGCCAUACCGCGUGGGUGAAGAAGGCCUUCGGUUUGUAAAGCCCUUUUGUUGGGAAAGAAAAGCAGCAGGUUAAUACCCCGCUGUUCUGACGGUACCCAAAGAAUAAGCACCGGCUAACUUCGUG